GGAUGUAAGUGGAAAUUUUCCUUUUCUCUCUCUUCCUCCAAUAAUGGCAGCUCUGUUUCUCUCUCUCUCUGUGGCCCAGAAGUCUGAAGCCACAUUACCGUAAAAGUAAAACUAACAAAUGUUCAACAGCUACCCAGAAUUGUACCAAGUAAAUAAAAGAAAGAAAAAAAAGCUAGAAGCUCUUCAAAUCUGAAAGACUGAAAUGGCACUGCUCGGCUCAGUUCUCUGCCCAUCAACUUCUCUAUUUUCCUCACAUCCCAAGCAAAAACCUUUAAGAAGCUCGAGACCCAGAAAACCAUUUUUAAUGACUUGUGUAUGUGCCAGCUCCAAUGGCAGCAACCUUAUGGCAGUGUCAGAGGUCUCUACAGAUGAAACGACAAGUUUUGGGUUCAAAAACUUGACUCAGACUUUCUGGGUCGAUGUACAGAGAGCACAAGAGAAGCCAUUAAAUGUUAAGCUCGGUGAACCUAUAAACAUAGGUUCUUCUCGGAUAGAAAUGGUGGAAAAUGUGGCGAUUAGAGUUGAACUGAGUAAUGGUUGUGUGGGUUGGGGUGAAGCUGCGGUGACCGUGAAGCCACGGGCAAUGGCUCUUGCCAAGGCAAAGGAGGUUUCUGAGUUUCUUCGGCGCAGUUCACCAAUGACUUUGAAUUUGGUGCUUGAGGAGAUUUCCGGCAUCCUUCAUGGCCAAGAAUUUGUUUCUGUUAGGGCAGGAUUUGAAAUGGCAUUGAUUGAUGCAGUUGCUAAUAGCAUUGAUGUGCCUCUAUGGAGAUUAUUUGGUGGUGUAUCAAAUAGUUUGACCACUGCUGUAACAGUUCCUUAUGUUUCCCCACCUGAAGCAUUAAAGUUUGCUUCAAAGUUUUGUGAAAAAGGAUUCAAUACCAUGAGGUUUAGGAUGGGAGAGAAUCUAAAUUCUGAUUUGGAAGUCAUUAAAGCGAUACGAGUAGUUCACCCCCAUUGCUCAUUCAUCUUGGAUGCAAAUGAAAAGUUCACUUCCAAAGAAGCCAUUAUAGUUCUUGAGAAGUUACAUGAUAUGAAUGUCAGUCCUGUUCUAUUUGAACAACCAGUUCACAGAGAUGACUGGAACGGUCUUGCUGAUGUUAGUGGUAUUGCAAGAGACCAAUUUGGAGUAACUGUUGUUGCAGAUGAAAGCUGUCAGACUUUAAAGGACAUUGAAAAAAUUGUACAAGAAAACAUUACAGAUGGAAUUAAUAUCAAACUAGCUAAAUUCGGAGUGCUGGGAGUGCUCCAAAUAGUUGAGGUUGGAAGAAGAUCAGGCUUGAAUCUUGUAAUUGAUAGUAUGGUCGAGACUAGACUUGGUACAGGCUUUGCUGGUCAUCUGGCUGCAGGACUUGGCUGCUUCAAACAUGUAAAUCUAGAUGCACCUUUUAAGUUGUCAGAGGAUCCAGUUUUUGGAGGCUAUGAAGCCUCUGGUCCUGUUUACAACUUCACUAAUUCUAGAGGUCAAGGAGGUUUCCUCAAAUGGGACAUUAUUGCCUGAAACCCAGCAAGUUGCAACUCUAAAAGUUGCAAAGUACCAUGGUCUAAUGUAGAUACUGAGGUAACUUUUCUCAGGUUAUAAGAAACCUGUCUUUUAGCUCCUUGACGGUUGCACAACGUACAUAAACUACUCGUUGAUUUGUGUAACCAGGAUUUGGUUUUUGAUCUUUUUGAGUCUAAUUGUAACAUCAAUCAUAUUGAGCCUCUCCUCUGGUAAAUCUUCAGAACACUCCAGUGCUAAUUCCAUGAUUGAUGACAAAAUGCCUUUUAAAGAGUCCAUGAUUAAUAGU